UAACGUAGGCAGCGAGCGUUGUUCGGAGUUACUGGGCGUAAAGGGUGCGUAGGCGGUUGUUUAAGUUUGGUGUGAAAUCUCCCGGCUCAACUGGGAGGGUGCGCCGAAUACUGAAUGACUAGAGUGCGGGAGAGGAGUAGUGGAAUUCUGGUGUAGCGGUGAAAUGCGUAGAUAUCAGGAGGAACACCGAUGGCGAAGGCAGUCUCUGGGCCGUAACUGACGCUGAGGAGCGAAAGCGUGGGGAGCGAACAGG
rnacentral:rRNA from 1 species